CUAUACUCUGGAGAGUCUCAUAAACGAGCGCCGAAGGUGUAAGGCAGGAGUUAUCCCGCUGAUCUCUCAGGCAAAAGGACAGAAGU
rnacentral:ncRNA from 1 species